GAGGGUAUAGCUUAGUGGUAAAGUUGUGCCUAACAUGCAUGAGACUCUGGGUUCCAUUCUCAGCGCUUUCA
rfam:Ictidomys tridecemlineatus contig099127, whole genome shotgun sequence.